GGCUGUGAAAAAUUAGGAAAUCUUCUUGACACAGGGAAAUCCGACACUUGUCUGCUCUAACAUCUGUAAGUGCGAAAGAAAGAGGGGGAUAUAUUUUUUUUUCCCCCCUUAAAGGUAAGUCUAUUUUUCUUCUUCUUGCCAGAUAUAAAAAUUGUGGUUAGUGCCUGGAGUAAAGGGCCCUCUAAACUUUAUAGUGUUUACCCUCCAUUUAUAAAUCCAUAAUGAUCUAUUUAAUGAUAUCAUAAGGUUAAAAGUUAAACAGCGCUGUAUUUUCCCUGCCUUUCAGAAAGGCAGGUUUGCCUAUCGCCGGGAGAUGAUCGGUCGGGGUUGUUUUCCGAAGAAGCCUAUAGGUAAAGAGGCAUCCAUACCUUCACAAAGGAGGACUCACGAAGGAAAGGACGAGAAGAUAAAGGUAUUAUUUUGACAUGAUGACCCCUGGAAAAUGUCUUUGACUCAUCCCAAAAGCGACAGCCACCCGCACCCUGCCUUCCCCCUUGCAAAAUACCACAACCAAAAUCACCAGAAAGAAACCCGAGUCAGAGAGAGACCAACAGGUUGUUGCCACUUUUGCUGCCUUUGCCUCUGAGAGAUUGGGUAAAUGCUCUGGCACCUUUCAAACAUUUUCUCAUCUGUGCUGAAUUUCUACUGACAAACCAACUGAUAGAUAUGGACCAAAGGAAUAUUUAUGAUCAUUGAGUAAGGUUUUUGUUUUUUUUUUUUUUACUUAAUCUGAGGCAAUUAGUUCCUGAAUAAACACAGACUAAGUAACCUACCUCCUCAAAAGGUAAUCAGACUUGAAAAGCGCUGUUUGGUUCUACCCAAGAAAAGCACAACUUGAUUAAAACGCUUUGGAGAUUUGCUUUUAUUUCUUCCCUUUUGCCCUGGAAAGCAUUUUAUAACAUCCCAAUAACUUUUAUUUUCUCCCCAUACCAAACCUGGGGCCUCUCUUGGUUGUUGCUGUCCUUUUCCCCCACCUUCCCUAAAUCUUUAACCCCGCUUCUCAUUUUUCUUUGCCUCUAAUCUAAUCACUAAUUCCUCGGUUUGGCCAAAUAGUUAAAAAUGUUAAGUGCUGCUCACAAUUCCUGCUGCCUCCCCCACGUAUCUGUCUCUGUUUAUGGAACAGGCCCUGGUUUCCUCCUGCUCUUGUUCAGCUGUAGGUCUGCAGGUCAGGAGACUGUAAAUACACA